rnacentral:rRNA from 1 species
AGAGUUUGAUCAUGGCUCAGAACGAACGCUGGCGGCAGGCCUAACACAUGCAAGUCGAACGAAGUCUUCGGACUGAGUGGCGGACGGGUGAGUAACACGUGGGAACCUAUCCUUUGGUGCGGAAUAACAGAGGGAAACUUCUGCUAAUACCGCAUACGCCCUAAGGGGGAAAGAUUUAUCGCCAAAGGAGGGGCCCGCGUAGGAUUAGCUAGUUGGUGGGGUAAUGGCCUACCAAGGCUGCGAUCCUUAGCUGGUCUGAGAGGAUGAUCAGCCACACUGGGACUGAGACACGGCCCAGACUCCUACGGGAGGCAGCAGUGGGGAAUAUUGGACAAUGGGGGCAACCCUGAUCCAGCCAUGCCGCGUGAAUGAAGAAGGCCCUAGGGUUGUAAAGUUCUUUCACUCGUGAGGAUGAUGACAGUAGCGAGAGAAGAAGCCCCGGCUAACUCCGUGCCAGCAGCCGCGGUAAUACGGAGGGGGCAAGCGUUGUUCGGAUUUACUGGGCGUAAAGGGCGCGUAGGCGGCAUGCCAAGUUGGGGGUGAAAGGCCUGGGCUUAACCUAGGAACUGCCUUCAAAACUGGCAAGCUUGAGACCGGGAGAGGUUAGCGGAAUUCCCAGUGUAGAGGUGAAAUUCGUAGAUAUUGGGAAGAACACCAGUGGCGUAGGCGGCUAACUGGACCGGAUCUGACGCUGA